rnacentral:rRNA from 1 species
UACGUAGGUGGCAAGCGUUGUCCGGAAUUAUUGGGCGUAAAGCGCGCGCAGGCGGUCCCUUAAGUCUGAUGUGAGAGCCCACGGCUCAACCGUGGAGGGUCAUUGGAAACUGGGGGACUUGAGUACAGAAGAGGAAAGCGGAAUUCCACGUGUAGCGGUGAAAUGCGUAGAGAUGUGGAGGAACACCAGUGGCGAAGGCGGCUUUCUGGUCUGUAACUGACGCUGAGGCGCGAAAGCGUGGGGAGCAAACAGG